rnacentral:misc_RNA from 1 species
GACUUUUUCUCUUCAUAGCAUUGGAGUAGUGUCAAGUAUUAAUACUUCUUAAGAGUUUAUAAUUGGCAUAUAGGGCAGUGAAAAGACCAUCUGACCCAGUUACUCAUUCGGCUCAGUGUACCAUUUCAAGGAGUUAAACAGGGCUUAGGUCAACUUCUACAGCUGUAGAAGGCAUAAUAAAAACCAUUUUUUCUGCUAAAGAAGAAAAACGACUUCAAUUUAUAAUAAUAGCAGCAACAAAAUCAAGACCUAAAAUGAUGUUUGUAAAAUCGAGGCAUAUCCUACAGAUCAAAAAAUGGUAAAUACUUGAAUCCUUGAAAAAGUGAAACUUUCUACCCAGGACACCAGAACUCGGGUAGGACUGUAAAAGGCAAAGUCUUUCAUUUUUCUCUUCAAAACCCUUCUUUAAAAAAACCGGAUUCUAGAGACUUGCUGAUAAAUAAUAAAAAUUAGGCAGACAAUUCAACAAGAAAGGCGUAUAAAAUGGAAGUCAUCAAACAUCCCAGGUGCCUCCUCCAUGUCAAACCCACCAAAGAGUUCGCCUCCAGCUCACAUAGUUCUUACACAUUACGAACCAAUUCUUUUUCGGCUGAAUUACGCAUCUGUGCUGUCUGGAUUUUCAGUCUCCAUUGGUUCUCCAGAUGCUGGUGGAAACUCACCACUUCCAGCUCCACCGUCAUCAUUGGCACCAGGAUUGGCUUCUCCACCCUGCGGCUGCUGUUCACUUCCCUGCGGUGGAGGUGUUGCUGGUGUUUCAGGAGUAGCUGGUUUAGCUGGUUUUGGUUUCGUCAUUAUCGGCCUACAGAACCGGUCAACCGCUUCUGCUUUCCUUCUCACAUCAGCUGACAAUAGAACUGGAGUGGCAUAUUUAGGAAGUGAGUCCUGCUGCUGCCUUUUCUCUCUUAACCAGGCUUCUGCUUCUACACACUCAUUCAAUACCUUCUGCUUCUCAGUAAGGUCAAUGUGAUCAAAUUUAGGAUCACUGGACAUUGCUGCCUCUCUGUAACUAUUAAUACAAUAAGCAAGUUGAUCGAUUACUGAUCCCCUAUCAGUGUACUCUCUGUAGCGCUCUUCAAUGGGAUCACCUUGCUUUUUGAGUUCUUCAAGCUUGGCAAUGUAAACACCUUUGGUUUCAUCCUCACCAUCCUCAUACAACCAGUCUUCAACCUCCUGCAGCUUGGUUGUGAAUUCUUCCCUCUCUGGGUCCGUAACAAACUCCUGAUAUUUGUCACAAAGCUUGUUCCUCAUAUCAUAGACAUACGCUUCCACAGCAUUUUUCCUGUCUUUGGUUUCUUCCAUAACCCGAUCUUGCAAUGCCAUUUCAAACUCCUUUUCUACUGCUUUCUGCACAUCUGCUGGGGGCAUUCCACCAUAAACUAGUUCUGCAACAGGUAUAUUUGUCUUCUUUACUUUCUUCUUUGGAGCCUCAACCUUAGUCUCGGUUUCCAUUUGUGUGGGCUUGUCCCCAGAUUCAGGAACACCAUUUUCAACCCCAGAAGCUUCAGCAGUUCCUUUACCAUCUUGCAUACUGACAUCAGCCUCAUUACUACUGGGAGGAGCAGCAUCACCAGGCGCCUCAUCAGUGUCCAUCUUGGUAGCUUCCUUUGUUGGCUCUUUUGUGACAGGAACUUCAACCUCUUCUUCCUCCAAAAGCGUUGCUGAUUCAACAGACACAAUUCCAUGCAGAUUUAGGCGAACUUUCACCUUCACUUUUGCUCUCUCACUUGAUGAAGAUUGGAAAGGACCAAUCGUAUACGUACUGAUCUUAGCAGGCACCUGCAGUUCGCUCACAUCAGCAUAUUGUACAUCGAUGGUGAAUGUCCCUGACCUGUAGAAUGUCAAAGCCUUUAUACUGGGUAUGGGAUUUCCCUUGGGAAAGACAAUUGUGCUUUGCUGAUUAUCUGCUGCUCCACUCUGCGAAUCUGGUGCAGCACCUUUCCAUGAUAAAGCAACUGAAAAUGGGAAGCUCUCAUGGACCUGCAGAUAAACCCAUAAACCAUUUCACGAAGCAAAUCAUGCACAGAAAAUGACAUCCACACUGCAAAUCAAACCCUUCAGUAAAGGCACAAUUCAACGCAAUAGUAGAACCACUUUGGAUAAAAUUGCAUUAAGCUAACAUCAUGUUAAUGCAGGCAUAGUCGUAUCCUCUGACCAAUGCCAAGUCAAAAACGCAAGUGUAGAUUUCCUUGCACUCUCCGAUAUGCAUUAUCAAACACAAAGCAGAGAUUCAAGAAGCGAUCUCCACAAGGCAAAAUAAAUGCACAAUUUCAACAGCAAAAGUAGCAUUGCUCUAUAGAAUUGUCCAAAGCUAAAAUCAUUUUAGAAAUAGUUGUAUCAUCUAACCAGCAUGUAAAGCAGGCAGAAUAAGAAACAAGUUAAAAGAAAGGCUGUUACCUGGAACUCUCUCACUUUGAAAGUGGGACUGAGAAUAGCACACUGCAAAGCACAUCCCCGGGAAACACACUCACUGGCAUUCAUAGUACGCCUAGGCUCCUUCCCAAAGAACUCAGUCAAGAUCUUGAUUAUGGCAGGUAUGCGAGAGCUAGAACCAACCACCUCAACCAUGUGCACAUUAUCAACUGUCAACUUAGCAUCUUGAAGUGCCUUCUCCAAAGGCCUUUUAACACGUUCCAAAAUUGGAACACAAAUCUGCUCAAACUCAUCUCUCUUAAUGAAGCCUCUAACAUCCUUCUCAUCCAUUAAGCAUUCAAUAUUCAGAGGAGCCUCAGGGUUGGCACUAAGAACCUUCUUUAGCUUCUCACAAGCAGCUCUAAGCCUAAGACAAGCCCUUGCAUUCCGGAAAACAUCAAUCUUAUACUCUUCCUUGAACUUAGCAGCAAAGUGAUGAAACAGAACCUCAUCAAAAUCUCUACCACCCAGAGUCCGAUCGUAAGAAUGAGCCAAAAUCCUGAGUUGGCCUUUUUUGAAUCCAGCAAUGCACACUUGCAUACUUGCAUCUCCAAUGUCAACAAAAGCAACAUUCAAUUGAUCAUUCUCAGGCAGAUCAGUCUUAUAAAUACCAUAUGCCAAUGCUGUAGCUGUGGUUUCAUGAAUCAAACGAAGAGGAUGCAGUCCUGCAAUGGUGGCUGCAUCCAAAACAGCCCUUCUUUGGAGGUCAGUGAAAUAAGCUGGAAUUCCAAUGCAGCAAUCCACCACUGCUGCAUUUAGAUUCUUCUCAGCUAUGCAUUUCAAAUUUGACAACACCAUGCCCAAAACUUGCGUUGGCGUAAAUGUCUUCACUUCACCUAAGUACCGUGCAUGAAUCAAAGGGAACCCAUCAGGACCUUCAGUUACAGCAAAGGGAAAUGACUUGAGAUCCUUUUGCAACUCAGGAUCAGAGAAUUGGCGGCCAAUCAGCCGCUUAAUCUGAGAUAUGGAGUUUUUGGGGUUCAUCAUAAUUGAGGCAGCUCCUGCAGUCCCAAUGAAUCGCUGUUUGUCUCCGAAGCACACAAUAGAAGGGGUUUCACGCUUUGAUUCAUCAUUAAGCACAACAUCAAUCCCUCUUUGCCGUGCAACAGCUACAACGCUGUUCUCAUUGCCAAAAUCAAAUCCAACAACACUCAUUUUUUUUAUAAAAUUUACUAAUUUAUGGGGUAAAUCGGUGUAGCCGUCACAAAUUUAUGUUGUAAGGUAACCUGUAUGAAACAAUCUAUAAAUCAAAUGUACUACACAGUAAAUAGACCAAUAAGAAAAAACAUGUUCAACAUAAAUUAGCAUUUACUGCAUGGAUAUAACUUAAUCCAUCAACAUGAGAAAUCAUACAACCAAAAGGAACAUAAUAUUAAAUCAUACUAAAUCCUAAAACAAUACCCAAUGAGUGUGCAAUCAAUACACAUCAAUGUUUUUGCAGGUAAUGAGAAUCAUUCAGUUUCAGGGCCAACAAUAAAACCAUCUAAAGAUCAUUACAAGCAACGCUCAUAGAACCAAGGAAAGGGAAGAAUCUAGCACAUGUACACAAAUAUGAAGCCAUGCAUCUAAAUUGAAUUUAAAUCAACUUCACUCCAAGAUAAUAGAAGAAACUUAAAAAAUGAAAUCAUCACAAGUCAUAAUUAAGUGUGUGGUUCAAAUAAAUCAUUACUCGCAUAUCAAAAUCCUCAUAGACAUCCAACAAACAAAGGUGAG